UACGAAGGGGGCUAGCGUUGUUCGGAUUUACUGGGCGUAAAGCGCACGUAGGCGGAUCGUUAAGUCGGGGGUGAAAUCCUGGAGCUCAACUCCAGAACUGCCUUCGAUACUGAGAGUCUCGAGUCCGGGAGAGGUGAGUGGAACUGCGAGUGUAGAGGUGAAAUUCGUAGAUAUUCGCAAGAACACCAGUGGCGAAGGCGGCUCACUGGCCCGGUACUGACGCUGAGGUGCGAAAGCGUGGGGAGCAAACAGG
rnacentral:rRNA from 1 species